UACGGAGGAUCCAAGCGUUAUCCGGAAUCAUUGGGUUUAAAGGGUCCGUAGGCGGUUUGGUAAGUCAGUGGUGAAAGCCCAUCGCUCAACGGUGGAACGGCCAUUGAUACUGCCAGACUUGAAUUAUUAGGAAGUAACUAGAAUAUGGUAGUGUAGCGGUGAAAUGCUUAGAGAUUACAUGGAAUACCAAUUGCGAGGCGUAGUUACUA
rnacentral:rRNA from 1 species